CGGUCUCCUCCUAAAGAGUAACGGAGGAGCACGAAGGUUGGCUAAUCCUGGUCGGACAUCAGGAGGUUAGUGCAAUGGCAUAAGCCAGCUUGACUGCGAGCGUGACGGCGCGAGCAGGUGCGAAAGCAGGUCAUAGUGAUCCGGUGGUUCUGAAUGGAAGGGCCAUCGCUCAACGGAUAAAAGGUACUCCGGGGAUAACAGGCUGAUACCGCCCAAGAGUUCAUAUCGACGGCGGUGUUUGGCACCUCGAUGUCGGCUCAUCACAUCCUGGGGCUGAAGUAGGUCCCAAGGGUAUGGCUGUUCGCCAUUUAAAGUGGUACGCGAGCUGGGUUUAGAACGUCGUGAGACAGUUCGGUCCCUAUCUGCCGUGGGCGCUGGAGAACUGAGGGGGGCUGCUCCUAGUACGAGAGGACCGGAGUGGACGCAUCACUGGUGUUCGGGUUGUCAUGCCAAUGGCACUGCCCGGUAGCUAAAUGCGGAAGAGAUAAGUGCUGAAAGCAUCUAAGCACGAAACUUGCC
rnacentral:rRNA from 1 species